ACUCCUACGGGAGGCAGCAGUCGAGAAUCAUUCACAAUGGGCGAAAGCCUGAUGGUGCGACGCCGCGUGGGGAUGAAGGUCUUCGGAUCGUAAACCCCUCGUCAUUUGUGUAACAAAAGCAAUUUCGGUUUGAAUUAAUCCCGGAAGCAAGUUGACUAAUGUAUGCUAAAAGAAGGAAGGGAGCGGCUAACUCCGUGCCAGCAGCCGCGGUAAUACGGAGGUCCCAAGCGUUGUUCGGAUUCACUGGGCGUAAAGGGUGCGUAGGCGGUCGGGAAAGUUCGAUGUGAAAGCUCCGGGCUCAACCUGGAAAAUGCAUUGAAAACUAUCCGACUAGAGGAUUGUAAGGGAGACUGGAAUUCUCGGUGUAGCAGUGAAAUGCGUAGAUAUCGAGAGGAACACCAGUGGCGAAGGCGAGUCUCUGGACAAUUCCUGACGCUGAGGCACGAAAGCUAGGGGAGCAAACAGGAUUAGAUACCCUGGUAGGCUCUGCU
rnacentral:rRNA from 1 species